UACGUAGGGAGCGAGCGUUGUCCGGAAUUACUGGGCGUAAAGGGCGCGUAGGCGGGAACUUAAGUUAGAUGUGAAAACUCCGGGCUUAACCUGGAGACUGCAUUUAAAACUGGGUUUCUUGAGGGCAGGAGAGGAAAGUGGAAUUCCUAGUGUAGCGGUGAAAUGCGUAGAUAUUAGGAGGAACACCAGUGGCGAAGGCGGUCUGCUGGACAGCAACUGACGCUGAGGCGCGAAAGCGUGGGGAGCAAACAGG
rnacentral:rRNA from 1 species